rnacentral:lncRNA from 1 species
ACACUUAGCAAUGGAAAAAAAAGUUUAGAAAUAAAUUAUAAAAAACAGAUAAAAUAUCGGUUGGAUUAUGUUGGAAGAGAGAAAGCAAAUUUCAAUUUUUUAAAACUUAAAACAUACCCCCACAAUCAAUAGGUGACAAGUGGCAUGGUGGUAAAAAAAUAAAAGGAAAAAAACUCUUUUGUCCACCACAUGAUGAAUGCAACAUCAUAUCUCUCUCCCUUCAUUUCCAAUUUUUUUAGUGAUAAUUUAAUGCUCUUAAUUUAAAGAUACAAGGAAAUAAACUCAACGUCUCUCUCCUCCUACUCGAUCCAAUCAAGACUUUCAUCAGUUAUUGCAUCAAUUAAUCUUAUUAUUAAUAAAUAAAUAAAAACUCUUUUUUCAAAAAGGAAAAAAACAAGACACAGUUAAAGAGAGAGAACUAGGACUUCUUCCUCAUUCCAUCGUUCUCUUCAAAUCCUCUCUGACUCUCUUUAUUUGUAAAAACAAAACUCACAAAAAAGGAAACUUCAUGGAAAAAGAAAAAUGCUAGCUGAAACGCAUCAUCGUGUGAAUCCAUACAAAACAAAACAUUAACGCUGAAGCAAAACCGGGGGAACACCCAAUUCCUUGAAAC